rnacentral:rRNA from 1 species
CCUACGGGGGGCAACAGUGGGGAAUAUUGGACAAUGGGGGCAACCCUGAUCCAGCCAUGCCGCGUGUGUGAAGAAGGCCCUCGGGUUGUAAAGCACUUUCAGUGAGGAAGAACGCCUGGUGGUUAAUACCCAUCAGGAAAGACAUCACUCACAGAAGAAGCACCGGCUAACUCCGUGCCAGCAGCCGCGGUAAUACGGAGGGUGCGAGCGUUAAUCGGAAUUACUGGGCGUAAAGCGCGCGUAGGUGGCUUGAUAAGCCGGUUGUGAAAGCCCCGGGCUCAACCUGGGAACGGCAUCCGGAACUGUCAAGCUAGAGUGCAGGAGAGGAAGGUAGAAUUCCCGGUGUAGCGGUGAAAUGCGUAGAGAUCGGGAGGAAUACCAGUGGCGAAGGCGGCCUUCUGGACUGACACUGACACUGAGGUGCGAAAGCGUGGGUAGCAAACAGGAUUAGAUACCCUGGUAGUC